rnacentral:rRNA from 1 species
UGGUGGAGUGAUUUGUCUGGUUAAUUCCGUUAGCGAACGAGACCCCUACCUGCUAAAUAGUCUGGCCAGUGUUCAUCACUGGCCGUGGCUUCUUAGAGGGACGUGCAUUCAACCAGUUGCAGGAAGAUAGGGGCAAUAACA